GACGAACGCUGGCGGCGUGCUUAACACAUGCAAGUCGAACGGAAAGGCCCUGCUCUUGUGGGGUGCUCGAGUGGCGAACGGGUGAGUAACACGUGAGUAACCUGCCCUUGACUUUGGGAUAACUUCAGGAAACUGGGGCUAAUACCGGAUAGGAGCUCCUGCUGCAUGGUGGGGGUUGGAAAGUUUCGGCGGUUGGGGAUGGACUCGCGGCUUAUCAGCUUGUUGGUGGGGUAGUGGCUUACCAAGGCUUUGACGGGUAGCCGGCCUGAGAGGGUGACCGGCCACAAUGGGACUGAGGUACGGCCCAGACUCCUACGGGAGGCAGCAGUGGGGAAUAUUGCACAAUGGGCGGAAGCCUGAUGCAGCAACGCCGCGUGCGGGAUGACGGCCUUCGGGUUGUAAACCGCUUUCGCCUGUGACGAAGCGUGAGUGACGGUAAUGGGUAAAGAAGCACCGGCUAACUACGUG
rnacentral:rRNA from 1 species